GCUACGCUGCCUGGGGAUUUGAGUAAGAGCGUGCCUGUUGCGACCCGAAAGAUGGUGAACUAUGCCUGAAUAGGGUGAAGCCAGAGGAAACUCUGGUGGAAGCUCGUAGCGAUUCUGACGUGCAAAUCGAUCGUCAAAUUUGGGUAUAGGGGCGAAAGACUAAUCGAACCAUCUAGUAGCUGGUUCCCUCCGAAGUUUCCCUUAGGAUAGCUGGAGCCCGGUGCAGUUUUAUCAGGUAAAGCGAAUGAUUAGAGGUCUUGGGGUUGAAACAACCUCAACCUAUUCUCAAACUUUAAAUGGGUAAGAAGCCCGGCUUGCUUAAUUGAAGUCGGGCAUUGAAUGCCGGGGCUCUUAGUGGGCCAUUUUUGGUAAGCAGAACUGGCGAUGCGGGAUGAACCGAAUGCUGGGUUAAGGUGCCCGAAUCGACGCUCAUCAGAUACCAUGAAAGGUGUUGGUUGAUCUAGACAGCAGGACGGUGGCCAUGGAAGUCGGAAUCCGCUAAGGAGUGUGUAACAACU
rnacentral:rRNA from 1 species